GAUGAACGCUGGCGGCGUGCCUAAUACAUGCAAGUCGAGCGAACGGACGAGAAGCUUGCUUUUCUGAUGUUAGCGGCGGACGGGUGAGUAACACGUGGAUAACCUACCUAUAAGACUGGGAUAACUUCGGGAAACCGGAGCUAAUACCGGAUAAUAUUUUGAACCGCAUGGUUCAAAAGUGAAAGACGGUCUUGCUGUCACUUAUAGAUGGAUCCGCGCUGCAUUAGCUAGUUGGUAAGGUAACGGCUUACCAAGGCAACGAUGCAUAGCCGACCUGAGAGGGUGAUCGGCCACACUGGAACUGAGACACGGUCCAGACUCCUACGGGAGGCAGCAGUAGGGAAUCUUCCGCAAUGGGCGAAAGCCUGACGGAGCAACGCCGCGUGAGUGAUGAAGGUCUUCGGAUCGUAAAACUCUGUUAUUAGGGAAGAACAUAUGUGUAAGUAACUGUGCACAUCUUGACGGUACCUAAUCAGAAAGCCACGGCUAACUACGUGCCAGCAGCCGCGGUAAUACGUAGGUGGCAAGCGUUAUCCGGAAUUAUUGGGCGUAAAGCGCGCGUAGGCGGUUUUUUAAGUCUGAUGUGAAAGCCCACGGCUCAACCGUGGAGGGUCAUUGGAAACUGGAAAACUUGAGUGCAGAAGAGGAAAGUGGAAUUCCAUGUGUAGCGGUGAAAUGCGCAGAGAUGUGGAGGAACACCAGUGGCGAAGGCGACUUUCUGGUCUGUAACUGACGCUGAUGUGCGAAAGCGUGGGGAUCAAACAGGAUUAGAUACCCUGGUAGUCCACGCCGUAAACGAUGAGUGCUAAGUGUUAGGGGGUUUCCGCCCCUUAGUGCUGCAGCUAACGCAUUAAGCACUCCGCCUGGGGAGUACGACCGCAAGGUUGAAACUCAAAGGAAUUGACGGGGGCCCGCACAAGCGGUGGAGCAUGUGGUUUAAUUCGAAGCAACGCGAAGAACCUUACCAAAUCUUGACAUCCUUUGACAACUCUAGAGAUAGAGCCUUCCCCUUCGGGGGACAAAGUGACAGGUGGUGCAUGGUUGUCGUCAGCUCGUGUCGUGAGAUGUUGGGUUAAGUCCCGCAACGAGCGCAACCCUUAAGCUUAGUUGCCAUCAUUAGGUUGGGCACUCUAAGUUGACUGCCGGUGACAAACCGGAGGAAGGUGGGGAUGACGUCAAAUCAUCAUGCCCCUUAUGAUUUGGGCUACACACGUGCUACAAUGGACAAUACAAAGGGCAGCGAAACCGCGAGGUCAAGCAAAUCCCAUAAAGUUGUUCUCAGUUCGGAUUGUAGUCUGCAACUCGACUACAUGAAGCUGGAAUCGCUAGUAAUCGUAGAUCAGCAUGCUACGGUGAAUACGUUCCCGGGUCU
rnacentral:rRNA from 1 species